UCUCACUUUGUCCCUGGCCCAAUGAAUAUUUAAUUAUUUAUACACAGCAUAGAUUGAGAGAGACAGAGACUGAUUCUAGAGCCCUGAAAAAAUUUACUGUUUUUUUUUUGGCCAGCUCUACAGUUCAUUGGUGUGACCAAGUAGUAGUAAGCAGAGUAAUUACAAUAAAGCCUACAUCUUUUGCAGUUCCUACUUUAGUGGGAACUGACUCAUUAUUGUUUUAUAUCUAGCUCACAUCAUUGUAUUCCAGUUCUACAAGGUGAAAUUUGUUUUUGUGAGUUCAGAGUUCAGUCAUUGCAUUAGAGCUAGUCCCCAGAUUAUGGUUCUGCUACACCAUUUGGAACGCAUCUGAGUGAAUAUGCGCCACUCAGAACAAAACCUUGCUUUUGGGUUCAUAAUGGGGAAAGUCGUGCUAAUUCACACCCAAUCUAUUUAGAACUUUGGAUCCUGUGAACCGUGCAAACCAGGUUUUAUGCAAAACGUUGUGAACCCAUUUUGCACUGAGCUUGUCAGUUUGCACAGCUCUUAUCAGAUGGUCAGGAAUUUUCUGAUGAAACUUAUUUAAUCAGAAAAAAUGCUGAUUCAUUAAACCAAAAUUGUCUGAGAAAGGGUCAGUUUCAGUCACUCUCCUGAUUCAAAACAUUUCUAAAAAAAAAGUUUUGAAAUUGUGAAAACAUCCUGUUUGACACUUUCAUAUAUCAAUUUUGUUUUAAAAAUUAGGUUGAUUUAUGCUAAAAAGGGUUUUGGUUAAAAAAAAAUAGUCAAAAUCUGAAUGAAAUGUUCCACAAUUAUCAAACAAAAUAUUUUGAUUGACCCAAACCAGAAAUGUUUUCAAGAUUAUCAGUUUGCAAGCAUUUUUGAGAUUUUUGACUUUUUGUCCAGCUUUGGGAUGGGAAAUUUUUUUGCCAUCUCAAAAAGUCUUUCAAAUGGGAAAAAUAUUUGCCACCCAGCUCCAAACAGAAACAUUAGAAGAAACUAUUGCCUAAUUAUCAUUGUUUCCAAUGAGAUUAUCCUGAUAACUCGAUUACUGUGCAAUCCAUCAUAUCACCAUUAGCAGAAGAGGACUAAAAAUAUAAGCAUUUUCUCUUUCCAUUUCACCCAUGAAUCCCUCCUCUUGUAAUUUUUUUCAAUUACUUUUAGUUUUUUAAUAAGAGUUGGAAUCCAGGCAGAAAGAUCAGAUCUUGAUUUGAAUUUCCCCAAAGUUUAAAGGUGUUUGGAUGCAGGGUAUUGGUUUGUCCCAUUUAUUUAACAUUUUUAAAAAUGUAAACAGAUAAGGGAGUGUAAAGACAGUUUGCAUGGGAUAUAUAGGAAGUGUUAUAAAUGAUCAUUCUGAAUUGGUACUGUCAGAUUUAGUAACGCAUAUUGUUCUCAUAUAGUUACAGGUACAUAAAUUGCGGUCAUGUUCAUUCUUAUGAAUGUACCCUUCUUUGUAUCAUUUUCUUUGAACCCACAAGCCAGUCCAGUUGUCCCAAAGGAGCUGAUAUGUCUCAAAUUUAGCAGUCUAACAUCUUAAAGACAGGCAGAGCACAACUGCUAAAUUAUGCUCAACCAGCCAAUGAGAGCAAUGUGAUUUAUAUGCUUGGCAGCACAUGACGAGAAGCUCAAUGAAAUAAGAUAAGGAAAAAAAUUCAGAUCUAGUGUAAUCAGAUUAGAACUACAGCUAACCAGGAAACUUGGGGUGACUGAGGUAAAAGGUGACAAUGGAAAAAAACAACCACCAUAAAGACUCCUAAAGACAGCAAAGAUAAACUGGUUCCAGUCAACCCAAAACUUUGCAUAUCCCUCAAACUUUUCUGACGUUUGUGCACUGUUAUGCUUCCUAGUUAUUGCUGGCAUGGGAAAUGGAUUACAGUGGAGAGAACUUGAAGCUAAUGGAGGUGAGAAAACAGCAAGUGGAUGCAGCCAUUUCUAACUGG